UGAGAUAUCUGGUUGAUCCUGCCUGAACUGAUGUGUUCAUUUCAAAGAUUAAGCCAUGCAUGUAUAAGUUUAAUCGAUUAACGAGAAACCGCGAACGGCUCAUUACAAUGGCCAUGAUUUACUUGAUCUUGAUUAUCUAAAUGGAUAACUGUGGAAAAGCUAGAGCUAAUACAUGCACCAAAGCUUUGUCCUCUCGGAAAAGCGCAUUUAUUAGAACAAAACCACGCGGCUUCGGCUGCUUCUUGUUGACUCAGAAUAACUAAGCUGACCGCAUGGCCUUGUGCCGGCGGCGUGUCUUUCAAGCGUCCACUUUAUCAACUUGACGGGAGCAUAAUCGACUCCCGUGGUGGUGACGGAUAACGGAGGAUCAGGGUUCGACUCCGGAGAAGGGGCCUGAGAAAUGGCCACUACGUCUAAGGAUGGCAGCAGGCGCGCAAAUUACCCACUCUCGGCUCGAGGAGGUAGUGACGAGAAAUAACGAGAUCGUUCUCUUUGAGGCCGGUCAUCGGAAUGGGUACAAUUUAAACCCUUUAACGAGUAUCAAGCAGAGGGCAAGUCUGGUGCCAGCAGCCGCGGUAAUUCCAGCUCUGCUAAUACAUAGAAUUAUUGCUGCGGUUAAAAAGCUCGUAGUUGGAUUCGUAUCGGUACCCUGGAACCCUCCGGGUGUUUCUGGGUGUUAUCGAUUUAUCGUAAUGUUCGGUUUUGAGUCCUUAACAGGAUUCUUAACAGGCAUUGCAAGUUUACUUUGAACAAAUCAGAGUGCUUCAAACAGGCGUUUUCGCUUGAAUGAUCGUGCAUGGAAUAAUAGAAAACGAUUUCGGUUCAGUUUUAUUGGUUUUACGGACUGAGAUAAUGGUUAACAGAGACAAACGGGGGCAUUUGUAUGGCCCCGUGAGAGGUGAAAUUCUUGGACCGUGGCCAGACAAACUACAGCGAAAGCAUUUGCCAAGAAUGUCUUCAUUAAUCAAGAACGAAAGUCAGAGGUUCGAAGGCGAUCAGAUACCGCCCUAGUUCUGACCGUAAACGAUGCCAACUAGCGAUCCGCCGAUGGAAAUUAUAUUGCCUUGGUGGGGAGCUUCCCGGAAACGAAAGUCUUCCGGUUCCGGGGGAAGUAUGGUUGCAAAGCUGAAACUUAAAGGAAUUGACGGAAGGGCACCACCAGGAGUGGAGCCUGCGGCUUAAUUUGACUCAACACGGGGAAACUCACCCGGCCCGGACACUGUGAGGAUUGACAGAUUGAUAGCUUUUUCAUGAUUCAGUGGAUGGUGGUGCAUGGCCGUUCUUAGUUCGUGGAGUGAUUUGUCUGGUUUAUUCCGAUAACGAGCGAGACUCUAACCUACUAAAUAGCUGAUACAUAAUCUUUGUGUAUACAGCUUCUUAGAGGGAUUUGCGGUGUUCAGCCGAAAGAAAUUG
rnacentral:rRNA from 1 species